rnacentral:rRNA from 1 species
AUGAACGCUAGCGACAGGCCUAACACAUGCAAGUCGAGGGGCAGCACAAGGAGCAAUCUGAGGUGGCGACCGGCGCACGGGUGAGUAACACGUAUGCAACCCGCCUGUAAGCGGGGAAUAACCCGUUGAAAGACGGACUAAUACCGCAUAAUACUAAAUUACUGCAUGGUAAUUUAUUUAAACAUUUAUGGCUUACAGAUGGGCAUGCGCAUGAUUAGCUAGUUGGAGAGGUAACGGCUCCCCAAGGCAACGAUCAUUAGGGGUUCUGAGAGGAAGGUCCCCCACACUGGUACUGAGACACGGACCAGACUCCUACGGGAGGCAGCAGUGAGGAAUAUUGGUCAAUGGACGAGAGUCUGAACCAGCCAAGUCGCGUGCAGGAAGAAUGUCCUUAAUGGAUUGUAAACUGCUUUUGCAGGGGAAUAAAGUGCAUCACGUGUGAUGUUUUGUAUGUACUCUGCGAAUAAGGAUCGGCUAACUCCGUGCCAGCAGCUGC